UUCCGUAGGGGGGGCUGCGGAGGGAUCAUUACCGAGUUUACAACUCCCAAACCCCUGUGAACAUACCAAUUGUUGCCUCGGCGGAUCAGCCCGCUCCCGGUAAAACGGGACGGCCCGCCAGUAGGACCCCUAAACUCUGUUUCUAUAUGUAACUUCUGAGUAAAACCAUAAAUAAAUCAAAACUUUCAACAACGGAUCUCUUGGUUCUGGCAUCGAUGAAGAACGCAGCAAAAUGCGAUAAGUAAUGUGAAUUGCAGAAUUCAGUGAAUCAUCGAAUCUUUGAACGCACAUUGCGCCCGCCAGUAUUCUGGCGGGCAUGCCUGUUCGAGCGUCAUUUCAACCCUCAAGCCCCCGGGUUUGGUGUUGGGGAUCGGCGAGCCCUUGCGGCAAGCCGGCCCCGAAAUCUAGUGGCGGUCUCGCUGCAGCUUCCAUUGCGUAGUAGUAAAACCCUCGCAACUGGUACGCGGCGCGGCCAAGCCGUUAAACCCCCAACUUCUGAAUGUUGACCUCGGAUCAGGUAGGAAUACCCGCUGAACUUAAGCAUAUCAA
rnacentral:rRNA from 2 species